GGUUUGCUGCGGGUCUCGUGGAAACCAUGUAACCUGCGGACCUUAAAUCAACCUCGGGGAACUGCCUCUGUCCGGAUCGUGGUCCGGUUAUGCGGUGCCCACCUGAACUUCAGGUUCACGAGGCUACACAAGGACCACGGAUUCUGCGGUAACCGU
rnacentral:other from 1 species